AUUGAACGCUGGCGGCAUGCCUAACACAUGCAAGUCGAGCGAGCGGCGGACGGGUGAGUAAUGUCUGGUAAACUGCAUGAUGGAUGGGGAUAACUACUGGAAACGGUAGCUAAUACCGCAUACCAUCAGAUGUGCCCAGGUGGGAAUAGCUAGUGGGUGGGGUAACGGCGCACCUAGGCGACGAACCCUAGCUGGUCUGAGAGGAUGACCAGCCACACGUGAACUGAGACACGGUCCAGACUCCUACGGCAGGCAGCAGUGGGGAAUAGUGCACAAUGGGCGAAAGCCUGAUGGAGCCAUGCCGCGUGUGUGAAGAAGGCCUUCGGGUUGUAAAGCACUGUCAGCGGGGAGGCGUUACCCGCAGAAGAAGCACCGGCUAACUCCGUGCCAGCCGCCGCGGUAAUUC
rnacentral:rRNA from 1 species